GAGUUUGAUCCUGGCUCAGGAUGAACGCUGGCGGUCUGCUUAACACAUGCAAGUCGAACGGGAUCCUUCGGGAUUUAGUGGCGGACGGGUGAGUAACGCGUGAGAAUCUGCUCUUAGGUUGGGGACAACAGUUGGAAACGACUGCUAAUACCCAAUGUGCCGAGAGGUGAAAGGUUAACUGCCUGGGGAUGAGCUCGCGUCUGAUUAGCUAGUUGGAGUGGUAACGGCACACCAAGGCGACGAUCAGUAGCUGGUCUGAGAGGAUGAUCAGCCACACUGGGACUGAGACACGGCCCAGACUCCUACGGGAGGCAGCAGUGGGGAAUUUUCCGCAAUGGGCGAAAGCCUGACGGAGCAAGACCGCGUGAGGGAGGAAGGCCUAUUGGUUGUAAACCUCUUUUGAUAGGGAAGAACACAAUGACGGUACCUAUCGAAUCAGCAUCGGCUAACUCCGUGCCAGCAGCCGCGGUAAUACGGAGGAUGCAAGCGUUAUCCGGAUUUAUUGGGCGUAAAGCGUCCGUAGGUGGCAAACCAAGUCAGUUGUUAAAGCGUAGAGCUUAACUCUAUAAGGGCAAUUGAAACUGGUUAGCUAGAGUGCGAUAGGGGCAAGGGGGAUUCCCAGUGUAGCGGUGAAAUGCGUAGAUAUUGGGAAGAACAUCGGUGGCGAAGGCGCCUUGCUGGGUCUGCACUGACACUGAGGGACGAAAGCUAGGGGAGCGAAAGGGAUUAGAUACCCCUGUAGUCCU
rnacentral:rRNA from 1 species